rnacentral:lncRNA from 1 species
AGGAGGAGGAGGCAGAGGCGGUCUGGGCCGGGCCGGGCCUGACCCCUGCGUCCCGGGGGCACAGGCGUUCUUAAGGCUGCAGAGCCCUGGGUCCCCCACCCGGCCCCGGUUCACUUUGAGCGGUCCCAAGGCCUGAGGGCCUACUGUCCAGUCCCCAGGUUAUCGUCCUGAGCAAAGACAGACCCCGAGCCCUGCGGUCUUGGGGCUCAAACAGUCCCUGGAUGGCCAAACAAGCAAAUAUUCGCCAUGGCAGUGGGUGCUGGAAGGGUGGCUCACGGAGCUGACGCCCUCCGCAGAGAACCGUGGUCUAGUCCUGCGGUCACGAGGCCUAUCUGGGACAGUGGUGUUUGAGCUGAGACUUUAACGAAUAGAGACAGGUGAGGUUCCUGCAGCCCAGGGCUUCAGCGUGAACAACCCCAGAAGGAAAAAGAGUGCUGUUGUUAAAGGUAUCUGGCAUCAUGGACCCAACCAUCACCAGGAGUUUCUCACUUCAUCUCUGUGUGAUAAAUUUUGACAUAUGUAUACAUCCAUGAAGCCGGCACCACAAUCAAGAUAAUGAACAUCUCGCUUACCCCAGAAGUUUCCUGUGCCCUGUCACUCCUCCGUAUUCCUCCAUCCUCAGGAUUUCAUCAAAUGGUCUGCUGCACUGUGCUGGAAUUUUGAACUCCCCAGAGUAGUAAACAACAUCUUCUCAAGGGUAUACAAGUCAUCAGAUAGAGAAAACACCCAUUAUAGAGCUGUGGAGCCCUUACGAUAUAGUGCUAUGCUGCAACAAAUUAGACAGAAGAGUAUUUGUUGAAUAAUAAAAGAGUCUCACUCUAUUGCCCAGGCUGGAGUGCAGUGGCAUGAUCUCGGUACACUGCAAGCUCUGUCUCCUGAGUUCAAGCGAUUCUCAUGCCUCAGCCUCCCGAGUAGCUGGGAUUACAGUUUUCCAAUAAUAACAUAGAAAAAAGGAAGAAUUUGAGAGUUUCUCAGAUUAGGCAAUUCCUUGAAGAAUCUGAGAACACAGAAGCUCCCCUCCCUACUUUCCAUGAUUGAAAUCAGUGAUUCAUUGGUUUCUUUGUGUGGGCUUUUGAAAGAUCAUUAGAAACCAACCUGAAGAUCAUGAGAUUCUUGUGGACACAGGAGCAAUGAGUGGCAAUACAGUGCUUUCUAAUGCAACCUACUUUAAAAGGUAAACAGAUAAAAGAAAAUACCGAAGACUGAAAAUGCAGAAAAUUCAACCAUGCAGCCCAUUCCAAAUUAAAUAUGUCUUCCUCUCUAAUUCCUCUCUUCUAGCAGAGAAGGGGAGAUGAGCUAUGACUCCAUGCUCAUGCUUAACAAAAUUGUGUUAGAUUGGUGCAAAAGUAAUUGCAGUUUUUGCCAUUUAAAAGUAAUUGCAAUGUUAUCUCCUAGAAUUUUUAUAGUUUCAGGUCUUAAGUUUAAGUCCUUAAUCCAUCUUGAGCUGAUUUUUUGUAUAGGGCUGGACGUUCGCUUAGGCAAGGAUUUCAUGACCAACAACCUGAAAGGAAAUGCAAUAAAAACAAAGAUAAAUAGCUGGAACCUAGUUAAACUAAAGAGCUUUUGCAUGGCAAAAAGAAGAGUCAGCAGAGCAAACAGAUAACAAACAGAGUGGGAGAAAACCUUCAUAAUCUGUACAUCUGACAAAGUGCUAAUAUCCAGAAUCUACAAUGAACUCAAACAAAUCAGUAAGAAAAAAACAAUUCCAUCAGAAAGUGGCUAAGGAUAUGAAUAGGCAAUUCUCAAAAGAAGAUAUACAAAUGGCCAACAAACAUAGGAAAAAACGCUCAACAUCACAAAUGAUCAGGGAAAUGCAAAUCAAAACCACAAUGCGAUACCACCUCACUCCUGCAAGAAUGGCCAUAAUUAAAAAAAAAAAUCAAAAAACAGUAGAUGUUAGCAUGGAUGCGGUGAACAGGGAACACUUCUACACUGCUGGUGGGAAUGUAAACUAGUAAAGCCACUAUGGAAAACAGUGUGGAGAUUCCUUGAAGAAUUAAAAGUAGAACUACCAUUUGAUCCAGCAAUCCCACUACUGGGUAUCUACCCAGAGGAAAAGAAGUCACUAUUCAAAAAAGAUACUUGCACACACAUGUUUAUAGUGGCACAAUUCAAAAUAGCAAAAUCGUGGAACCAACCCAAAUGCCCAUCAAUCAACAAGUGGAUAAAGAAACUGUGGUAUGUAUAUAUAAUGGAAUACUAUGCAGCCAUAAAAAGGAAUGAAUUAACAGCAUUUGCAGUGACCUGAAUGAGAUUGGAAACUUAUUCUAAGUAAAGUAACUCAGGAAUGGAAAACCAAACAUCAUAUCUUCUCACAGAUAUAUGGGAACUAAGUUAUGAGGACUCAAAGGCAUAAGAAUGAUACAAUGGACUUUGGGGACUUGGGGGGAAGGGUGAGAAGUGGGUGAGGUAUAAAACACUACAAAUAUGCUGCGGUGUAUACUGCGCAGGUGAUGGGUGCACGAAAAUCUCACAAAUCAUCCCUAAAGAACUUACUCAUGUAACCAAAUACCAUCUAUACCUCAAUAACUUAUGGGGAAAAAAGUAAUUGCAAAAACUGCAAUUACCUUUGCAUGAACCAAAGGCCUACUUUGGAGAGUCAGAGGAAUUCUUAACCAUAAUUCAACCAAGACAUACGGUAUGUGCCUUCUCUUUGGUGGAACAGUGAAUAUACAGGCUACUAGCCUGUACUGAGUGUUUCAGCCAAAACACAUUCUUUUAAAAGUCACAGUUUUAAGUGACAAUAUCCCAAUGAAAAUACAAAUUAAAAAAUGCAUUGGCAUAUCUAUAUUCCCUCCCAAAAUAACACACAUUUGGAAUAUAUAAAGAACUCUUAAAAGUCAAUGAGAAAAAAAGCAAUAGCUCAGUAGAAAAGUGGGAAGAAGACUUGGACACUUCAGAAAAGAGAAUAUAUUAAAAUAGUCCAUAAACAGAAAUAAAAGGUGCUCAACUUUAUGAGUCAUCUGGGAUAUGUAGAUUAAAACCACAGUGCAAUAUUAUACCACCCCUACCAGAAUAACUAAAAAGAGUAAGUUGGAAAAUACUCAGUGCUGAUGAGAAAGUGGGGUAAUUGAAACUCUUAUACAUCAUUCUAGGAACAUCCACUUAGGAAAACAACUUGGCAGUGUCUAAUAAAGUCCAGUAUAUGCAUUCCCUAUAACCCAGAAUUUUUACUCUCAGGUGUAUACCCAACAGAAAUGCAGGUGUGUGUUCACCAGAAAUCAUGUUCAAGAAUGUUCAUGGUAUCACUAGUCAUGAGGCACAAAAACUGGAAAUGUUCAUCAACAAUGAGUAGGAUAAAUAAGUUGUGUUAAUAUUUAUACAAUUGAAAAUUAUACAGCAGAAAGAAUAAAUAAUCUAAACCUACACACAACAGCAUGAAGAAAUCUCAUGAGUGGAAUGUUAGAUCAUAACCUAAAUAAACUUACCUGGAGCAGGUGCCACUGAAGCCAUAAAAUGGUAGGAUGAAUUGCUGGAGGCUGACUAUGGACUAGCUUGACAGUAAAAAAUUUGGGGAGGUCCAUUCUGAAGGAGGCCCCUCACACUUUCUUGGAUUUUAUCUUCAGGAAGCCCACCAGAUUUUCAUGGUGAAGAUCUUAGAAAACAUCUCUCAUAUCUUGGUCAGUUGGGGGAAAGUAGCAUUUUGAAAUAAUCCUAGAGCAUUCUCCAUAGCCAAGGUUUACUCCUCAACGGAAACAACUUUACCAGAGCCUUAGUUGACCAUGGAGAAGGGCAGUUAGCCCCCUACAUCCCUCUCUAGCUUUCUUGUGUUACUUAGUGGAAGGAAAAAAAGGAUAAGAAACACUUCUGAAGUCCAAUUCAGGGACUUGAGCCCACUAAAAGACUGAAAUAUACUUACCUCCUCCACACCUUACCACCACAUCAACACAGCUCCAGAAUAAUCACAAUGGGUUACAAUGGAAAGAGCUGCAAAACAUAGACUCUAUUUAAGAAGGAAUUCUUAGGGAAAUCCAAUGUGGAGAAAACAAAGACACUGAGGAAACUAAAGUCUCUGGCAUCUAUAGCUAUGGAAAACAUGAAGCACAACCCAUCUGCUAGGCAGAUUGACAUAAAACCUCAUACUAAAGACCUAUUUUCCUCAGUUCUCAUUACCUGAUACAUCAUGUUUGACUUUUAACAAAAAAUCAUAAGGAAGGCUAUACAAAAAGAAAAGGAAAAACACAGUCAGAAGAGACAAAGUAAGCAUCUGAACUAGACUUUGACAUGAAACAAAGUUUGGAAUAAUCAAAUAGAUAAUUAAAAAUAACUAUGAUUAGUUAUGUUAAGGACUGUAAUAGAAAAAGUAUAAGCAUGCAAGAGCAGAUGAAUAAUAUAAGCAGAAUAAUGAAAACUCUAAGAAAGAAUCAGAAGAAAAUGACAGAAAUGAAAAACACUGCAACAGAAAUGAAGAAUGCCUUUGAUAAGCUCAUUACUAAACUGAACAUAAACAAGGAAAUAAUCAAUAAUUUAAAGAUAUAUCAAAGGAGACAUUGCAAAUUGAAAUACUAAGAGAAAAAGGACUACAACCUCCAUUCCAAUAUCCAAGAACAAUUACAAAAAUAUAACAUAUGCAUAAUUGAAGUACUAGAAGAAGAAGAAAGGAGCAGAGGAAGUGCAGAGGAAGUACAGUAGUUCCCUCUUAUCCAUGGUGGAUACAUUCAAAGACCCCCAGUGGAUGCCUGAAAAUGCAGAUAGUACCAAACCCUACCUAUACAUUCUAUGUUUUUUCCUAUAUGUACAUAUCUAUGAUAAGGUUUAACUUAUAAAUUAGGCAUAAAAAGAGUUUAACAGUAUAAUAAAAUAGAAAAAUUAUAACAAUACUCAGAACCAAGCACAACUGAAAACUUGUGAAAUGUUUAUUUCUGGGCAUGGUGGCUCAUGCCUGUAAUCCCAACACUUUGCAAAGCCAAGGCAGAUGGAUUGCUUGAGCUCAGGAGUUUAAGACCAGUGUGGGAAGCAUGGUGAAACCUCAUCUCUACAAAAAAUACAAAAAAUUAUCUAGGUGUAGUGGCACAUGCCCAUAGUUCCAGCUACUCGGGGUGGUGGGAGGGUGUGUGGUGGGGGGCAGUGUGGGGUGGAAGGGAGCUGAAAUGGGAUAAUCGCUUGAGACCAGGAAGUCAAGGCUGUACUGAGCCUUGACUGGGCCACUGCACUCCAGCCUGGGUGACAGAAUGAGACCCUGUCUCAAAAAAAAAAAAAAAGGAAAAUUAUUAAGGAUAAAGAUGGGCAUUAAAUAAUGAGAAAGGGGCAAUUAUCCAAAAAACAUAAUAAUUCUUAAGUUAUGCAGGUAACACAGCAUCUAAAUACAUGAGACAAAAAUUUAUAAAACUGCAAGAAGAAAUAAUCAAAUUUAAUAUUAUUUAAUAAUAUUUUUGGAGAUCUCAACAUCCCUAUAUUAAUAACAGCUAAUUUCAACAAGCAGAAAUCAGGAAAAUGUUCAACUGAAUAGCACUAACAAUGAACAGGAUCUAACUGUUCAAGUAGCAGCAGAAUAAUUAAUCAAGUAACAGCAGAAUACAUAUUCCUCUCAAGUUUAUAUGGGACUUUAUGCAAAAUAGACCACAUUCUGGGGCUGAAAAAGAUGCCCUCACAAAUUUAAAAGAAUAGAAGGUUUACUGCAUGUGUUCUUAGACUAUAAUGAAAUUUAACUGGAAAUCAGUGCCAGAAAAAAACUCAGAAGUCCCCAAAUAGUUUGAGAUUAAAUAACAUACUUUUAUAUAACACAUAGGUCAAAGAAGAAGUCUCAAAGGAAAUUUAAAAAUAUUUCGAACUAAACAAAAUGAAAUGUACAUCAAAAUUUAUGGGAUGCUCAGGAAAAAUAGCUAGUGGAUGCUUGGCUUCAUACCUAGGUGAUGGGUUGAUCUGUGCAGCAAAGCACCAUGGCACACGUUUACCUAUGUAACAAACCUGCACAUCCUGCACAUGUACCCUGGAACUGAAAAUAAAAAUUGAUUAAAAAAGAAAGAGAAAGGAUAAUUCCUUUCACCCACAGUUUCCUGUCUCCUAAUAGUCCUUCUGUUGUGUCUUUAAAUAAAUGUGUCUCAAAUCUUAAGAUAUUCAUAAAAUCUGGGAUUGCAGAUGUAUUUUGCAUUACAAGUCCUAUUUUUAUUUUUUAAUGGAAUGCUGUAAAAGCAGUUCUUAGAGGCAAAUUUAUAGCAGCAAAUGCAUAUAUUAGAAAAGAAGAAAAAUCUAAAAUCACUAAUAGAAAUGUGCCUUAGGAAAGUAAAGAGAGGAGAGCAAUUUAAGCCUCAAGUAAGCAGAAGAAAAGACAUAAAACUUUGAGCAGAAAUCAAUAAAAUUGAAAACAUGAGGUCAACAGAGAAAGUCAAUAAACCCAAAAGGCAAUGCCUUUAAAAGAUCAAUAAAAUCGAUAAAUCCAUAGCCAGGCUAACCAAGUGAAAAAGGGAGAAGACACAAAUUAUAAAUAUUGAUUCCAUAGACAUUAAAAAGAUAAUAAAAGAACAUUACAAACAAAUGUAUACUGACACUUUUGGUAAUUUAGAUGAAAUGAAUCAAUUCCUUGAAAGACAUAAACCAUCAAAACUUAUGGAAAAGAAAUACAUUACCUAAAUAGAUCUAUAUUUAUUUAAAAAAUAGAUAAAUCAUUAAUAAUCUUUCGAAAAAGAAAGCGUCUCGCCCAGAUUCUUUCACUAAUGAAUUCCACCAAGCAUUUAAGGAAGAAAUAAUGUCAGUUCUCUAUAAUCACUUUUAGAAAAUAGAAGUAAGAGGUAUACCUCCUAACUCAUUCAAGGAGGCAGGCAUUAUCUUAAUAUCAAAACCGGGGAAAUACACUACAAGAAAUGAAACCUACAGCUCAAUAUAUUUUAUGAAUAUAGAUGGAAAAAUUUUCAAUAAAAUAUUAGCUAAUUGAAUCCAAAAAUAUAUAAAAAUAGUAAUACAUCACAGUAAGUGCAAUUUAUUUUAGGCAUACCAGACUGAUCUGACAUUUAUUAACUGGCUAAAGAACUAUUUUAUGAUUCUGUCAAUUGAUGCAGAGAAAGCAUUUGACAAACUCCAACAUCUAUUUAUGAGAAAAAGUCUUAGAAAACUAGGAAUAAAAAACAUCCUCAACUUAAUCUGGAACAUCUAAAAAAUGGGACUUCACGCUAUUUUAUGGUGAGAAAUGAUAUGCUUUUCUUCUAUAUUGGGAACAAGACAAGGUUCUUUUUUUGCCACUCUUAUUCACCAUCCUACUGGAUGUCCUAAUUAGUGCAACAAGGCAAGAAAAAAUAUAUAUACAGAUUAGAAAGAAAAAAAGAAAACUACCUCUGUUCAAGAUGACAUAAUUACUUAUUUAGUAAAACUGAAAGAAUUGACUCCUGGAAUUAAUAUGUGAUUAUAGCAAGGUUGCAGGAUGCGAGGUUAAUAGAAGUCAAUUGUGUUUCCAUGUACCACCAGUGAACAAGUGAAAAUUGAAGUUGAAAACAAAAUACAAUUUCAUUCCUUCCCCCAGCAAAAAUGAAAUAUAAACAACAAAAUAUGUAUACAACGUAUAUUAUGUAUAUGGAAAAUUUUAAGUCUGAUGAAAGAAAUAAAGGAAGAUCUAAAUAAAUGGAGAUGUACCACUUUCAUGGAUAAGUAGAUUCAAUAAUGUUGAGAUAUAAAUUCUUCACGAAUUGGUGUAUACAUUUAAUACAAUUCUAAUAAAUUCUCAGCAAGUUAUUUUGUGGUUAUUGACAAAUUUAUUCUAUUUUUUAGCUUCAUCUCAAAAGAUGAUUUUAAAAUUUAUAUGGAAAUGCAAGAGACCCAGAAUAGUCUACAUAAUACUGACCAAAGGACUAAGUUGGAGAACUGACACUACUCAUAGUACUACAAAGCUACAGUAAUUAUGACAGUGAGGUAUUUGUACAAGAAUAGACAAAUGGAUUAAUAGAAAAGAGGAGAGAGCCUCUUUUAGACCCUCAACUGAUCCUUGACAGAGCAAAAUAAAUUCAAUUGAGAAAGGACAGUCUUUUCAACAAAUAAUCAUCAAAAAUUGUGCAUAUACAUGCAAAAAUGAAUCUAGACAUAUACCUUAUGCUUUUCACAAAAAUUAAUUUAAAAUGGACCUUAGUUCUAAAUGUAAAACAAAAACUAGAAAACUUCUAUGAGAUAGCAUAGGAGAAAAUCUAGGUGACCUUGGGUUUGAUUAAAUCAUGAUCCAUGAAAGAAAAAAAUUAAAAAAAAAUUGAACUUAAUUAAAUUUAAAAAUUGUUAUGUGAAAUAUAUUGUUAAGUAAAUGAGAAGACAAGCCACAGAAUGAGAGAAAAUAUUUUAAAAACAUAUCCAGUAAAGGAGUUAAAUCCAAAUGA